GACGAACGCUGGCGGCGUGCCUAAUACAUGCAAGUCGAACGCACUCUCGUUUAGAUUGAAGGAGCUUGCUCCUGAUUGAUAAACAUUUGAGUGAGUGGCGGACGGGUGAGUAACACGUGGGUAACCUGCCCUAAAGUGGGGGAUAACAUUUGGAAACAGAUGCUAAUACCGCAUAAAACCUAACACCGCAUGGUGYAGGGUUGAAAGAUGGUUUCGGCUAUCACUUUAGGAUGGACCCGCGGUGCAUUAGUUAGUUGGUGAGGUAAAGGCUCACCAAGACCGUGAUGCAUAGCCGACCUGAGAGGGUAAUCGGCCACACUGGGACUGAGACACGGCCCAGACUCCUACGGGAGGCAGCAGUAGGGAAUCUUCCACAAUGGACGAAAGUCUGAUGGAGCAACGCCGCGUGAGUGAAGAAGGUUUUCGGAUCGUAAAACUCUGUUGUUGGAGAAGAAUGUAUCUGAUAGUAACUGAUCAGGUAGUGACGGUAUCCAACCAGAAAGCCACGGCUAACUACGUGCCAGCAGCCGCGGUAAUACGUAGGUGGCAAGCGUUGUCCGGAUUUAUUGGGCGUAAAGCGAGCGCAGGCGGUUUCUUAAGUCUGAUGUGAAAGCCUUCGGCUCAACCGAAGAAGUGCAUCGGAAACUGGGAAACUUGAGUGCAGAAGAGGACAGUGGAACUCCAUGUGUAGCGGUGAAAUGCGUAGAUAUAUGGAAGAACACCAGUGGCGAAGGCGGCUGUCUGGUCUGUAACUGACGCUGAGCUCGAAAGCAUGGGUAGCAAACAGGAU
rnacentral:rRNA from 2 species